AGAUAAAUGCAGCCAAAUAUUCCAAAGAAAAAAAAAAGGAAAAAAAGUGAUGAAGGAGAAUGAAAGAAUCAAAGAUGGCAGCUUUCAUGGAUCUCUUUUCUGGAAACCGAUGGAGGAUUUUUGGGGACAGUGAUCAGAGUGGUGAAAUAAAUAAAUAGGGGAAGCAAUGCCAUUGAUAGCCCAAUUUGACUCAAUCUUCUCCGAAGCACUGUAACAAAGAACGAACCCUAUUCCAAUUCUCGGAGACGACGACAACGACCCUGUCUCUGUCAUUUGGGCAAUACCAAAUGUGAGUCCUAAAUCGAAGACCUACUACGGAGAUUGAGCUUUUUUAUUGCCCUCUCCCAUCUCCCCAUCGAUUCGAUUCAUUUGCCUUUCGUUCGAGACGCAUCCAUGGCUGACGAAUCGCAACAACCCCAAUCUGAAUCUCAACCUCCUCCGCUCGAAGUCGAUUCUGCACCUCCGCCACUGCCUCCGCCUUCGUUCGAUCCCAGUCGAAUGAUUGGUAUCAUUAAACGAAAGGCCUUGAUAAAAGAACUAGCUGCUGCGUAUCAUGCUGAGUGUCUUGUAUACUGCCAAGAGCUUCUUGAGCUACAAAGAAAGUGGGACGAGCCAUAUAUCGAGUUAAAAGCACCUGAUGAUCCAAGAAAGGAAACAAUGAAACCUAGCAAACGUCAACGGAAAUCCCGCUAG